ensembl:lncRNA
AUGGCAUUCUCCUUGUGUGUGUGUGUGUAUAUAUGUAUAUGUGUACAUAUACAUGCAUUGACUGAAAUUUUAACUCCAAUAAAAAGUUGCAAGACAAAGUUAAGAAAAUAUUCAGACAGAGAAAAUGACAAAAAAAUAAAAAGCAUGUGGGACAGUUUUCCAAGUAUUGCCUGUAAGCUCUAAAUGCACCAUUUAUAGCCUUCUCUAAGACAAGGGAGAUGGGCCUUAUGAAUGUUUCUUCUUUGCCAGUUGGCAUGAAACUGGAGGAAAACUAGAGAAUGAAGUGUCUUUUCCUCCAGGCUCUAGUUUGCUCUUCUCCCUAGGUUCCUGUAGCACACACAGCUUCUACAGCACCCAGCCCCUGUAGAGUGUAGUAGCCCAGUGGUCAGCAGUACAUGGGACCUGCUUCACUUCCCCAGAACUCUCUUGUGUCAUUUUAUGUUGUGUUCUUGGGUAUGGAACCUCUCUGUGGAAGGCUACGUCAUGGCAGUGCAGAGCACAGACUGUGGUAAGUCCUGCUGGUGAAGCACCUCAGUGAACUUCUCUGAGGUGAAUGGUAAUUCAGUUAUCCAUGGUCACAUCCUUUCCAGUGGAAUCGAGAUCUACCUUAGAAGUAGGGGAGGGAUUUUCCCCUGGUGUUCUAUUAUAACCUUAGGGACUGUGGCCCUUACCUAUGCCUGCUAUUCUUAUAUUCUCUCGUGUUAUCUUUACCUUUUACUAGCUAAUUCCUCAUUACUACAAUAUCACAUUUUAAUUAAUAAUCUUCAUAUUAAAUGUUCCCUGUUAAAAUUACUGUGUGGGUACUGCCUCUUGGCUGGACCUAAUGGUUGUGGUAGGAGAUAAAAGAUAAGCAUAUUAAAGAACCAAUUUAGAAAGAAUAAUUAUAGGUAAUAGGUAUUACAGGUAUUUCUAAAAUACAAAUAAAUAAAAUUCCUUGAACUGAAAGAGAAAAGAGUUUCCAGAUUGAAAUUUUCCAGUAAGUGGCCAGAUUACAGAAAGAAAGGGAAAAGAAAAGAUCCUGAAAAGGCCACAGCAUCAUACAUUUUCAUGACUUGAAAUGAAAGGGUAAAUAGAAAUGUCUAAAAACUUCCAGUUUGGAUGGGGAAGACCAUCUUUAAAAAGAAAAAAUAAUCAGGAUAUAUCAAUCCUCUCAAAGACAAUGCAGAAUUGUUAGAAGACAAAGAGUAAUGUUUUUAAAAAUUUGACAGACAACAUUUCCAACCAGCUGAAUUAUAAACAUACAGUAAACAUGAAAGAAUAACUUCAGGUAAGUAAAGGUUUGUAAGUACUACUUCCCAUAUCUUUGUUUAGUAAGCUAUUGGGAGAUAUGCUCCUAUAAGGUUGAAGGACUAAAUAUUAAAGUGGGAGUAAUAAGAUCCAUGAAACACAUCUUCCAUUUUAGAAAAAUCUCAUAAGGAAAUCCUACAGUUAUAUUGGAAGGAAGUUCUAGAUGGAUCGUUUUAUAUCAGGCUCAGGGAACAAACUUUUCAAAAUAGAGCAAAAGAACAAGGUAAGAUAAGUCUGACACAUGGAGUUAAAAAAAUAACAACAAAAAAAAAACUGUAGAUGAUGUGAAAUGAUCAUUUAGUACUUAGUAUAUGUGAUGAUGUAUUAAAAAAUGAUGUGGCUGGGUCCAGGGGCUCACGCCUAUAAUACCAGCACUUUGGGAGGCCAAGGUGGGCGGAUCACUUGAGGUCAGGAGUUCAAGACCAGCCUGGCAACAUGAUGAAACCACAUUUCUCCUAAAAACACAAAGAAUUAGCCAGACAUGGUGGCAGGCACCUCUAAUCCCAGCUACUUGGGAGGCUGAGGCAGGAAAAUCUCUUGAACCCAGGAGGUGGAGGUUGAAGUGAGCCGAGAUCACACCAUCGCACUCCAGCCUAGGUGACAGAGCAAGACUCCAUCUCAAAAUAAAAAAAAAAAGAAAAAUGAUGUUAACCUAUAAAAUACUGUGAAAGUAAAGAUAGGCAAUUACUAACUCCACUAAAAUAUUCAAAAAUAUUUGAGGAACAAAAAGCAAAUUUUAUGUUCAUUUAUGUAAAUAUGACAAUAUGAACAUAUAUAUUUUAUUUUAAAUAAAACUGUAUUAUAAUUAUGCUUACUUUGUGGAAAGAUGUUAAGUGUGGAGAAAAACACGCCUAAGGUUGAUAAGUCAAACAAUAUUACCAGGCACAUAAACUUUUAGAAGUAUGCUGCUAAAUACUAGAAAAUAAUGCCAGCAUUGACUUUGAGAAAUGAGAUUCCUUUUGAGUAGCAGGAAUAAAGAAUGUGGUAUGGCAAUACUCUUUUUCGUCAUAAACCAUUCUGAUCACUCUUUCAAACCAUGGGUAUGUAUAUAUUUGGAUUAACUUACAAUAAAAAUCCAAACAAAUUUCCAUCAGGGAGGUAAAUGAGAUAAUGAAUGGAAGAAAUCAGCAAAGUGCUUAGCAGACAGUCAUCAUUCGAUGAGUGCUGGUUGUGAUAUAGUAAUUGUUGAGUAAAUUAGUUUGGGGAAAAAAACCCUACUAUUUAGCAUUAAAUGUGUAUUUUAUCUUCAAGUAAUGUAGUAUAGAAGAGGUAAAGCUUGACUUGACAGAGUAAGCAUAUCCAUUCCUGAUAUAAUUAUUUUCCGAUACGCAACAUUAGAUAGACGUUAUCACU